AGUGAACGCUGGCGGUAGGCCUAACACAUGCAAGUCGAACGGCAGCACAGUAAGAGCUUGCUCUUACGGGUGGCGAGUGGCGGACGGGUGAGGAAUACAUCGGAAUCUACUUUUUCGUGGGGGAUAACGUAGGGAAACUUACGCUAAUACAGCAUACGACCUACGGGUGAAAGCAGGGGAUCUUCGGACCUUGCGCGAUUGAAUGAGCCGAUGUCGGAUUAGCUAGUUGGCGGGGUAAAGGCCCACCAAGGCGACGAUCCGUAGCUGGUCUGAGAGGAUGAUCAGCCACACUGGAACUGAGACACGGUCCAUACUCCUACGGGAGGCAGCAGUGGGGAAUAUUGGACAAUGGGCGCAAGCCUGAUCCAGCCAUACCGCGUGGGUGAAGAAGGCCUUCGGGUUGUAAAGCCCUUUUGUUGGGAAAGAAAAGCAGCAGGUUAAUACCCCGCUGUUCUGACGGUACCCAAAGAAUAAGCACCGGCUAACUUCGUG
rnacentral:rRNA from 1 species